CCUACGGGUGGCAGCAGUGGGGAAUAUUGCGCAAUGGGCGAAAGCCUGACGCAGCCACGCCGCGUGAGUGAUGAAGGUCUUCGGAUCGUAAAGCUCUGUCGGGAGGGACGAAGGGGAAACCCGGACGGUACCUCGCAAGAAAGCACCGGCUAACUCUGUGCCAGCAGCCGCGGUAAUACAGAGGGUGCAAGCGUUGCUCGGAUUUACUGGGCGUAAAGCGUACGUAGACGGUUGGAAAGGUCGGGCGUGAAAGCCCUGGGCUCAACCCAGGAACAGCGCUCGAAACCAUCCAGCUUGAAUUUGGGAGAGGGAAGCGGAAUUCCUGGUGUAGAGGUGAAAUUCGUAGAUAUCAGGAGGAACACCGGUGGCGAAGGCGGCUUCCUGGCCCAAUAUUGACGUUCAGGUACGAAAGCGUGGGUAGCAAACAGGAUUAGAUACCCUUGUAGUC
rnacentral:rRNA from 1 species